rnacentral:rRNA from 1 species
UACGUAGGCAGCAAGCGUUGUUCGGAAUUACUGGGCGUAAAGAGUGUGUAGGCGGUGCUCUAAGCCUGUCGUGAAAUCUCCCGGCUUAACUGGGAGGGUGCGGCGGAAACUGGAAUGCUAGAGGGUGGGAGAGGAAAGCGGAAUUCCUGGUGUAGCGGUGAAAUGCGUAGAUAUCAGGAGGAACACCUGCGGUGUAGACAGCUUUCUGGACCACUUCUGACGCUGAGACACGAAAGCGUGGGUAGCAAACAGG